AAGCUCGAUUGCUGCUACCGUCGUAGUUGUUAUAUAUGCGCACCUAUAACUGUAAUAGUGAGCGAUGACGCGUUUGUCGGCUCGCGAGACGAGACGGUUGGCAUUGCUCAAUGAUCGAGUUGUAGUCAUAGAAUGUACGUAGCGAUCGCGAUGUGGGCAUACCCAUUUGUAAGAUAGUGAUGACAACGACUCACGGGGUUGGCGGCGGCGGCUGCGGCGGCAGCGUGUCGGCGGCGCAAGUGCGGGCGGGCCAGCGCGCCCGCGGCCGCACACACCAAUACAGCGGCGCCAACGCAUACGCCCGCCCACCACCACUCUGAAAAAAACACAUUAGAGGUUAUGCAACAAUAAAAAAAAAAAAUACAAUCGAUUAACCAUGAUACAACUUAAUCGAAUUAAACAUAAAGUGUUGGUACAUCACUAUAAUAUAAUUUUGACAGAUUGACAUUGACAGAGACAUAAUAAUCGUAUUGUGACAAAAGUUUAGUUAUAAAAAAAAUUAAGGAAAAUAAAAUAGUUUAAAAGAC
rnacentral:lncRNA from 1 species